rnacentral:rRNA from 1 species
UACAGAGGGUGCGAGCGUUGUCCGGAAUCACUGGGCGUAAAGGGCGCGUAGGUGGCGACCCAAGUCGAUGGUGAAAGCUCGCCGCUCAACGGCGAGUCGGCCACCGAUACUGGGUUGCUCGAGCACUGUAGAGGCAGAUGGAAUUCCGGGUGUAGCGGUGGAAUGCGUAGAGAUCCGGAAGAACACCGGUGGCGAAGGCGGUCUGCUGGGCAGUUGCUGACACUGAUGCGCGACAGCGUGGGGAGCAAACAGG